rnacentral:rRNA from 1 species
UGGGGAAUAUUGGACAAUGGGGGCAACCCUGAUCCAGCAAUUCUGUGUGCACGAAGAAGGUUUUCGGAUUGUAAAGUGCUUUCAGCAGGGAAGAAGAAAGUGACGGUACCUGCAGAAGAAGCGACGGCUAAAUACGUGCCAGCAGCCGCGGUAAUACGUAUGUCGCAAGCGUUAUCCGGAAUUAUUGGGCAUAAAGGGCAUCUAGGCGGCCAGACAAGUCUGGGGUGAAAACUUGCGGCUCAACCGCAAGCCUGCCCUGGAAACUGUUUGGCUAGAGUGCUGGAGAGGUGGACGGAACUGCACGAGUAGAGGUGAAAUUCGUAGAUAUGUGCAGGAAUGCCGAUGAUGAAGAUAGUUCACUGGACGGUAACUGACGCUGAAGUGCGAAAGCUGGGGGAGCGAACAGGAUUAGAUACCCUGGUAGUCCCAGCCGUAAACGAUGAUUACUGGGUGUGGGCAUGAAGAGUGUCCGUGCCGAAGCUAAUGCGAUAAGUAAUCCGCCUGGGGAGUACGGCCGCAAGGCUG